rnacentral:rRNA from 1 species
CCUACGGGUGGCUGCAGUGGGGAAUAUUGCACAAUGGGGGAAACCCUGAUGCAGCGACGCCGCGUGAGCGAUGAAGUAUUUCGGUAUGUAAAGCUCUAUCUGCAGGGAAGAAGAUGACGGUACCUGACUCAGUAGUUCCGGCUAAUUUCGUUCCAGCAGCCGCGGUAAUACGUAGGGGGCAAGCGUUAUCCGGAUUUACUGGGUGUUAAGGGAGCGUAGAGGGGGAUGCAAGCCAGAUGUGAAAGCCCGGGGCUCAACCCCAGGACUGCAUUUGGAACUGUGUGGCUGGAGUGUCGGAGAGGCAGGCGGAAUUCGUAGUGUGGCGGUGAAAUGCGUAGAUAUUAGGAAGAACACCAAUGGCGAAGGCAGCCUGCUAAACGGUGACUGACGUUGAGGCUCGAAAGCGUGGGGAGCAAACAGGAUUAGAUACCCCAGUAGUC